CUUAAUGCAAACAAAAAAUGAUACUGAAAGCAAAACAUUAACCCACAAGUGUUGAGGUCGAAUAAAUAACAAAGCAAGGAAAUCAUUUUGAAAGGCAAGAACAAAUACAUUGUAAAUGAAUGCGGGAAAAAAUGGUUUUCAUUUAAACAUUUUCAAUGAUUGCAAAGAAACGCUUCCCUCUUUGUCUGCAACAUUUUCUUUCUUUGGUUACGUUACCCUGCCCGCCCUUCGUUUUAGCUGCCUUUUUUGGGGGUUUAAAAGGAAGCGUAGAAGAUGCGUCUCUAUUGGUCAACUGGUUUUGGAAUGAUAGGUCAUGCUUGAUUUUUUUUCACUAUUUUUUAAACUUAUUUAACUUUUCCAUUUUGGAUAAAAAGGUCUCAGUGGCUACUAGAUAGCUAGACAGGGUAAAUGUACGACAAGAAGAGCAUCGGAAAACAUCCUAGCACUGAGAUGCAGUGCCUUAGACCGCUGCGCCACUCGGGAGCCUGACAGAAGCGGUUGUGGCUGAUGACCUGUCUCCAUAGCUGAGAGAAGCCAAGGAGGAAUAUCACUUCAUUCCCAACAAUACUGCUAAUAUUUCUAACUGUACCGAUGAGAAAGAGUAGGGCAGACUUAUACAAUUACAAUACAGAAAUGUUCUUGCUCUUUAGUGAAGUUCUGCCAAUCAUAUGUUGGAAACCAUUUAUCAAGGAAAACGAGUUGAACACUUUGUGGAAAUUGUCAUCUGUUUCUUGAACACCAGUGUUUCAUCUAAGGACAAUAAUAACUAUUACCUGUAUCAAAAUUAACAAUAAGGGGUAUAUCCUUAAUAAAAUAAUUGAUGGGUAAUUGUGUAUGGACAUGACAAUUAUCUGCUUUAUGCUUCUGAUUUUCCAGUGAACAUUAACAAGGAAAAACUAUACACAAUAAUACAGCUUUAACAACAUUGAGGCAAGUAACAGUUGUCAAUUGUCUCCCCAAUGACUAGCUCAAAGAAUGUUAUGUCCAUCUAUUCUGUCUAUUUAUAUUUGGCUCUAUUGUUACUAGCCAUAUAAGCAUGGAUUGAUUUGUUUAGAAAAGUAGUUUGUUGCACUGCAGCUAUCUAGCAAAAGUACCACAGUCAUAUCAAAGAUUUGUAUAACUAACCCAAGAUAGACGACAGCCUGUCGUUUUCAAUGGGAGCAAAUGAAUCAUAAUGGUCAGAAUAAGCAAGGAGGUGAGCAGCUAGGAUGUAAACAAACUGGAUCAUUGGGUGAGGCUGACCAGUCACUCCAAAACCGGAUGACGGAUAGACACUCAACAUUUUAGGCUCCCUCUUAACCCCGUGGAAUGAAUGUGCCAAAACUUUGCAACAGCAAAAAAAAAAAGGUAGCGAAAGCACAUACAGAACAGCGAGACA